UCCCUGGUGGUCCAAUGGUUAAGACUCUAUGCUUCCACUGAAGUGGGCACAGGUUCCAUCCCUGGUUAGGGAA
rfam:TPA: Bos taurus chromosome 8, whole genome shotgun sequence.